GGAGAGGUGUCAGAGUGGCCGAUUGAGCACGCCUGGAAAGUGUGUGUACGUGAUGAGCGUACCGAGGGUUCGAAUCCCUCCCUCUCCGCCA
rnacentral:tRNA from 2 species